UGUCAGGCGGCUGACCGAAGGGUGUGGUCGGAACUACAUAAGGUGGGAGGGAAAAACGGGAGGCAGAAUGUAAAGCUGCCUAAAGCGUCUCCCUCGCCUUCCCUCCCUUCUGAAGAAGACCUGCUGGGUGUUCCCUCACCUCUGAGGAAUCCUCAUAGUGUUAUUUGCUAAGAACGUGUUCCAGAGAACGUGAAGAUGUUGAGACUGAACUGAGGAAAGGUUCCAAGAUCUUCACAACCUGUCAGAUGACAGUCUUUGCUCCUGCUACUCUCCAGAGCUCUCUCCACCCCACUCAAAUCGGGAUAGACGGCGGUCCUGGAAUUUAUUUUGUACUUCCCCUGUCUGUCUGGAACACCCUGCCUGUCAAAAUCCUGUCCAGCUUGUCAGGCCCGACUGCAGCCUUCCUGCAUGAUCCCUUCCCUGACUCUCCACUCAGAAGCGUACAUACAACUUUGCAUGAGAGUUCUUUUCUCACAUGGGUGUUUAUAGUCAGGGUUAUUCUACACACCGUCCCUGAAUGAUGUCCAUACCCCUGUGAGAGGGGGAAUGUAGGGCAGAAAGGCUAAUUCAGCUGCCUGUUCACUCAGAUGGAAGGAAUAUUUAAGGCAGUCAGAAGGAAGCACUGAGGGAAUGGCUAGAGAGGUGCACUCCCUUGGAGACUGUCCACUCUUUUUUAAUCCCUUAACAACAACAAAAAAAACUUGAUUGCGCUCCAAGGGGAAAAAAAAUUCAACUUUAUUGACUGAAAAAUAUCAAUGAAGAAAACUGACCUGCAUUUCAUCACUAAAAUGGUAUAUAUUUCAAAAAUAGCAAUAUGAAGGCAAAUUUCUGUAUUUUCACCUUAAGUUAUGUUGACAUUUGGCAGCCUCAUGAGAACUAUGGGCCAGAGAUCUGUAAACCCCAAAACUAGAGUCUGAAGAUGAACCUGCCUGAGACUCUUGCCCUAAGAAGCUCUAGAAAUGAGAACAUCAAGGCUCUCCUCUGGCCUGCAGACAACCUGGGACCUUGUUGGAGCUGAGAUCCUUCUAUGUUCACACAGCAGAUUCCCUGAGUCCUAGGACUCUGUUACUUGUCUUACCUCAUCACCCAGCCUUCCUUGGGGGUAAGAACUGUGCCUUACACUCUUCACCCUCUUCUGGUGAGGGCCCAGCACAGUGCCUUUUGCGUAGUGGAUCAUCGAGAAAUUCCUGUUUGUGACAAUGGUGAUGAAGAAAUAGUUGGAGAGAAAGUGACUUCACCCAUGUGUGUUGAAUUUUAUUUUCUUUAAAACAGCACACCCGGGCUUCCCUGGUGGCGCAGUGGUUGAGAGUCUGCCUGCUAAUGCAGGGGACACGGGUUCGAGCCCUGGUCUGGGAGGAUCCCACAUGCCGCGGAGCGGCUGGGCCCGUGAGCCACAAUUACUGAGCCUGCGCGUCUGGAGCUUGUGCUCCGCAACAAGAGAGGCCACGAUAGUGAGAGGCCCGCGCACCGCGAUGGAGAGUGGCCCCCGCUUGCCGCAACUGGAGAGGGCCCUCGCACAGAAACGAAGACCCAACACAGCCAAAAAUAAAUAAAUAAAUAAAUUUAUUAAAAA